AGCACCAAAGAAGGUGACAGUCCCGUAAACGUAAGUUAAAAUCUAGGGUAUCAAUAAGUACGGCGAGACACGAGAAAUCUUGUCGGAAGAUGGGAGGACCAUCUCCUAAGGCUAAAUACUUCUUAGUGACCGAUAGUGAACUAGUACCGUGAGGGAAAGGUGAAAAGAACCCCGAAAGGGGAGUGAAAUAGAUCCUGAAACUGUGUGCCUACAAUUAGUCAAAGCACGUUAAUGUGUGAUGGCUUGCCUUUUGCAGAAUGAACCGGCGAGUUAUGAUAUGGAGCAAGGUUAAGUUUUAAGGAACGGAGCCGUAGCGAAAGCGAGUCUUAAUAGGGCGUUUAGUUGCAUGUCAUAGACCCGAAACUGAAGUGAGCUAGCCAUGAGCAGGUUGAAGUUUAGGUAAAACUAAAUGGAGGACCGAACCAGGACACGUUGAAAAGUGUUUGGAUGACUUGUGGCUAGGGGUGAAAUUCCAAUCGAACUCAGAGAUAGCUGGUUCUCCCCGAAAUAGCUUUAGGGCUAGCGUUGAUUUAGUAAUUUGGUGAAGGAAGAGCACUGAAUGAGUAAGGGCUCCACCUCGGGGUACCGAACUCAAUCAAACUCCGAAUGUUACCAAAUAAAAUCAGCAGUCAGACUGUGGGUGAUAAGGUCCAUGGUCAAAAGGGAAAGAGCCCAGACCGUCAGCUAAGGUCCCAAAAUUGAUGUUAAGUGGCAAAGGAAGUGAAGACGUUUAAACAACUAGGAGGUUGGCUUAGAAGCAGCCAUCCUUUAAAGAGUGCGUAAUAGCUCACUAGUCGAAUGACUCUGCGCCGAAAAUGUACCGGGGCUAAAACAUCAUACCGAAGCUACGGAUUGAAAUAACUUCUUAGUUAUUUGAAUGGUAGGGGAAGCGUUCUGACAUCAGUGAAGCCAUAGCG
rnacentral:rRNA from 1 species